ACACUCCUACGGGAGGCAGCAGUGGGGAAUUUUGGACAAUGGGCGAAAGCCUGAUCCAGCAAUGCCGCGUGAGUGAAGAAGGCCUUCGGGUUGUAAAGCUCUUUUGUCAGGGAAGAAACGGUGAAAGCUAAUAUCUUUUGCUAAUGACGGUACCUGAAGAAUAAGCACCGGCUAACUACGUGCCAGCAGCCGCGGUAAUACGUAGGGUGUAAGCGUUAAUCGGAAUUACUGGGCGUAAAGCGUGCGCAGGCGGUUUUGUAAGUCUGAUGUGAAAUCCCCGGGCUCAACCUGGGAAUUGCAUUGGAGACUGCAAGGCUAGAAUCUGGCAGAGGGGGGUAGAAUUCCACGUGUAGCAGUGAAAUGCGUAGAUAUGUGGAGGAACACCGAUGGCGAAGGCAGCCCCCUGGGUCAAGAUUGACGCUCAUGCACGAAAGCGUGGGGAGCAAACAGGAUUAGAAACCCGGGUAGUCCCAUGAU
rnacentral:rRNA from 1 species